rnacentral:rRNA from 1 species
GAGCUCAAAUCAGGUAGGACUACCCGCUGAACUUAAGCAUAUCAAUAAGCGGAGGAAAAGAAACUAACAAGGAUUCCCCUAGUAACUGCGAGUGAAGCGGGAAAAGCUCAAAUUUAAAAUCUGGCGGUCUUUGGCCGUCCGAGUUGUAAUCUAGAGAAGCGUCUUCCGCGCCGAGCCGUGUACAAGUCUCUUGGAACAGAGCAUCAUAGAGGGUGAGAAUCCCGUCUCUGACACGGACUUCCGGUGCUAUGUGAUGCGCUCUCGACGAGUCGCGUUGUUUGGGAAUGCAGCGCUAAACGGGUGGUAAAUUCCAUCUAAAGCUAAAUAUUGGCGAGAGACCGAUAGCGAACAAGUACCGUGAGGGAAAGAUGAAAAGCACUUUGGAAAGAGAGUUAAACAGUACGUGAAAUUGUUGAAAGGGAAACGCUUGAAGUCAGUCGCGUCGGGCGGGACUCAGCCUCACUUCUGUGUGGUGUACUUCCCGUUCGACGGGCCAGCGUCGAUUUCGACCGUCGGAAAAAGUUCAGGGGAAUGUGGCACCCUCGGGUGUGUUAUAGCCUCUGUUCGCAUACGGCGGUUGGGAUCGAGGACCGCAGCACGCCUUCUGGCCGGGGUUCGCCCACGUACGUGCUAGAUGC